CAGUGUGGGGCUGGCCUGACUCAAUAGAAGGCAAAUUCCUGUGUUCCAUACCAGGCCUCAAUUAAAAAACAUUCCCUUUUUGCUGGCCCUGAAGUCUGAGUGGAGUGAGUUUGUACAGACCUAAAACAUAAUUCUUAGUACCUUCACUGAACAGUAGGCCUCAGGAUUUUUUGCAGGGGGAAGCCAUGACAGUUAAGCUGUAUAUCUGUAGUGUAGAUAAUAUGUGCUACUAGCUGCAACCAGACACCUUCAAGUUACCUUUGUUGUUUUGUGAGGUAAAUGUGAUGUCAAAAAGAGAGCUACAGCUGUUGGCAACACAUGUUGAGAUAUAUAGAGGGGCAAAUGUGCACCAGGCAGGAAACUUGAAGCAGGAACCAUAGCCGCUUUCCAUGUCACCUUCCCCAAGAAACUCUGUUGUAAGGCAAGUGUGCCGUAAAAUUACGUCAAGAUCAGGAAGGAAAAUGAUCUGGCAUUUGGGCACUCUUGACAACCCCAGGGCCUGUGGUGUUUUUGAAAUGGAUCAGCUAGGCAGCUGACAGCUUAAAGCUGACAGAAAGAUUGACGGCGUUUUUGUGAGGAAAGAAAAACAGCGGCAAAAUGAAGCUCGGGUGGGGGGGGGGAGCUGAGGGAAUCAGACAGCAUCAAAUGGUAAUUGAAAGAGGAGGAAAUUACAGUCCUUAAACACUCCCCAGAAACAAAUUUUUGAUGUAAAUCUUUUUUCUCUCAUUCAUAUAUAUAUAUAUAUAUAUAUAUAUAUAUAUAUAUAUAUAUAUGACAAGAAAAGAAAUCUUGAUUCAACAACACUCUUCUCCUUACAAGAGCUUCCGCAUACAGACACACACACCCCUUUCUCAACACACACACACACACACACACAAGCAUUCAGGAGAAUCAAAAUUAGUUGUGACAGCUGAAAUUCUGUACUCAUCUAAGGACAUUUUGACAGGGAGACCAGACUCACUUCAAAUGGCUGCCUCAGAGAGAUAUACUACACCUUUUUCUGGCAAGGAGAGCAUCCAGAAGAACCACGUAUUCACGGUGUAUGCUUCACAAUGAAGAACUCCCUUCUGUCUGUGAUAAAGGGCUCAGAACAUUUGUUUCCCCUCCACUUCUCAAUUGCCUUCAUUUUGGUUAACAUCUUGAGCAUCCAAGACAGACGGAUGUCAACAAGGACCAAAACUCAGGCAUCCUAUGAAAUUUGCACUUCUCUGAAUUUUGCAGUGUGGUUUUCCUGCCAAAUAAUGUGUUUUUAAAAAUGUAUAUACUGGGCAAAGUGCCCAUAAAAAUUAAUCCCCCCUGCCAUGAAAAUAACAUGAAAAUGCUUUAUUUCAGGGCAAAAUGGCUUUGGAAAAAUGUGUCUAUUAGGGGAAAUUGCAGUUUGUAAACCACUUAAAAGUUCUGUCGACAAUCAAGCGUUAUAUGCAUUAUAUACAUUUUUUAAAAAUUAAAAUACACCAAUGAAAUAGAA